rnacentral:rRNA from 1 species
CCGCUAUUGGAGUUCGAUUAAGCCAUGCGAGUCGAGAGUCUUAGGGACUCGGCGUACCGCUCAGUAACACGUGGGUAACCUGCCCUAUGCUGGGGAAUAACCUCGGGAAACUGAGAAUAAUGCCCCAUAGUCCACAAUGCCUGGAACGGUUUGUGGAUCAAAGCUCCGGCGGCAUGGGAUGGGCCUGCGGCGUAUCAGGUUGUAGGGGGUGUAACGUACCCUCUAGCCAUCAACGCGUACGGGUGUUGGGAGACAUAGCCCGGAGAUGGAUUCUGAGACACGAAUCCAGACCCUACGGGGUGCAGCAGGCGCGAAAACUUGGCAAUGCGAGAAAUCGUGACCAGGGAACUCCAAGUGGCUGGGGUAAGACCCAGUCUUUUCUUGACUCUUCAAAGGUCUUGGAAUAAGGGGUGGGUAAGGACGGUGCCAGCCGCCGCGGUAAUACCGGCGCCUCAAGUGGUAGUCGAUUUUAUUGGGCCUAAAACGUCCGUAGCCUGUUUGGUACAUUCGUGGGUAAAUCAACCAGCUCAACUGGUUGAAUUCUGCGAGCACGGCCAGACUUGGGACCGGGAGAGGUGUGGGGUACGCUCAGGGUAGGGGUAAAAUCCUGUCAUCCUGAGCGGACCACCUGCUGCGAAGGCGCCACACUAGAACGGAUCCGACGGUCAGGGACGAAGCCUAGGGGCACGAACCGGAUUAGAUACCCGGGUAGUCCUAGGUGUAAACGCUGUGGACUUGGUGUUGGGGACUCUCCGAGAAUCCUCAGUGCCGAAGCGAAGGUGAUAAGUCCACUGCCUGGGGAGUACGGUCGCAAGGCUGAAACUUAAAGGAAUUGGCGGGGGAGCACCGCAACCUGAGGAUUGUGCGG